GACGAACGCUGGCGGCGUGCCUAAUACAUGCAAGUCGAACGAAAGCGACCGGUGCUUGCACUGGUCAAUCUAGUGGCGAACGGGUGAGUAACACGGGGAUAACCUGCCCAUCAGAGGGGAAUAACAUCCGGAAACGGAUGCUAAAACCGCAUAGGUCUUCGAACCGCAUGGUUUGAAGAGGAAAAGAGGCGCAAGCUUCUGCUGAUGGAUGUACCCGCGGUGCAUUAGCUAGUUGGUGAGGUAACGGCUCACCAAGGCCGUGAUGCAUAGCCGACCUGAGAGGGUGAUCGGCCACAUUGGGACUGAGACACGGCCCAAACUCCUACGGGAGGCAGCAGUAGGGAAUCUUCCGCAAUGGACGCAAGUCUGACGGAGCAACGCCGCGUGAGUGAAGAAGGUUUUCGGAUCGUAAUACCCUGUUGUUAGAGAAGAACCAGUGCUAGAUUAACCGUUAGCGGCUUGACGGUAACUAACCAGAAAGCAACGGCUAACUACGUG
rnacentral:rRNA from 1 species